AUGAGAAGAGGGACGAGGAGACUGGGAAGGAACCAACUAUUCUACAACUUUGGCAGAUCACUCAUACACGAAAUGGAUCAUGGUCUAAUGAAGAAUCACAGACUGUUUAUGACAAUGCACGCAGCCAGAUUAGGGAGAAAGAAGGAGAGAUUGGUGGUACAAUUUCAAGUGAAGAGCAAAACAAUAUUUUCCAGAAUAGCUACAAAUCUACUAUGGAAAGUACAUCAUUGA
rnacentral:rRNA from 1 species